UACGGGGGGGGCAAGCGUUGUUCGGAAUUACUGGGCGUAAAGGGCUCGUAGGCGGCCAACUAAGUCAGACGUGAAAUCCCUCGGCUUAACCGGGGAACUGCGUCUGAUACUGGUUGGCUUGAGUGUGGGAGAGGGAUGCGGAAUUCCAGGUGUAGCGGUGAAAUGCGUAGAUAUCUGGAGGAACACCGGUGGCGAAGGGCGGCAUCCCUGGACCAUUACUGACGCUGAGGAGCGAAAAGCCAGGGGAGCAAACGGG
rnacentral:rRNA from 1 species